rnacentral:hammerhead_ribozyme from 1 species
AUCCAACUGACGAGCCCCAAAUAGGACUACAUGCGCAUCUUGGAU